rnacentral:lncRNA from 10 species
GACAGCAUGUGUCUGGUGGCAGCACCCAAAUGUUAAAAUCCAGCAUGCAAAGCCAAAAUCAUCAACAUGUGAUUUACCAGUGAAUCAGCCUGAAUUUGCUCCCUUCAAGAAGAAUGGUGCCUGUAUGUAAAAAUCACAAAGCAUGCACCGUUGGUGGCACUUGGUGGCUUAUUCAUUAUUCUGUUUGGUAGAUUGGAGAGGCAGAAGAAUAAAAAGAGUUAUUGUUCUCAUUUCCAUGUGAUUUGACUCAGGCAUGUUUAAAGAGUAGCUCUUGUACCAGGGAAAUGAAGAUUUGAUCCUGCACUGCUCUUAAGACACUAUGGGAAAUACUCGUAACUUCUAAGUCUAGUUCAGAUUCUCUUGGCUGCCGAAUUCCGAAACAGUCAUAAAAUGUGAUUUGCACUCCUAGACACUCAGGAAUCUCUCCGUUACCUCAGAGAAUCUGGCCACAAACAGGACUCAGAGUGGAAAUUGCCCAACCUGUCUGCUAUCACUCUCUUGAAAGAGACAGAUCCGAUCAGCAUCUCUCAACUGUGACUCAUGAGGUAUUUUUGGCUAUGUCAAGAACAUUCUCAAACAAGGUUGUACUGAAUUUUCUCUAUUGAUUCCCCUUCCUGAACACAGUCCAUGGUCCAUUCUCUGCCUUGUACGCCCUAGUAUAGGUUCCAGGAAGCUAAACCUUACAGAGAGAAACACAGGCUCUCUUGCCACCUGAUUCUCAUGUGGGUUUGGUCGAGGAAGGACCAAGAGGAACUUGGAAAUCAGAAGGAAAAAGAGGAUUUUGCCACUUCUUUGCAGAACAAAGAAUGCACACCUACCAAAGGGCUACUUUGCACUCAGCACUGAGUAAGUCACUUUCCAAUCAAUCAUCCCAAAAACCAUCUGAAAUAUUUGUGUUCUUACUUGAUCGAUGAGGAACUUUACCUUAUGCAGUGAAGAAUCUAAGAAGAGAGAGGUUCUACCUCAGAGAAGUGAGCCAGACCAUGUAGAUGGUGGGCUCUCAGGGCAGGUUGGCCAGGGGAUCCGUAAUGACCUCUCUGUUUAUAUCGCUACGCAGUAAAAAGAGAUGAAUCUAAAGGAAACACGUUGUACGUGUAGAUAGUAGAAUGGCUUCCCAAGAGGGACACUAAGUUACCUUUAUUGCUAUUACUGACCAGCAUUGUCAUUUUAUAAGUAGAUUUGUCUGAGCGCCUUAAUGGUAAUAUAGCUGGGCAAAGGGUUGAUUACUUAUAUUUCAUGAGAAUAGAUGAUUAAACAUUCUCAACCUAAAGAAAUGUUAUUAUCUUUAUUACAUUAAUAUUUUGUUAAAGAAAGAGGAUUACAGCAUUAUUUACAGUUACUGAUCUGUGGAUUAAUAGGAAACACUGCUCUUUAAAUAUAGUAAUAACAUGUUAGUUACCAAGAAAACUGAGGCCUGAGAGGUAGAGAAAUUCUGAUGAACAUAAACAAAUUGGGUAUAAGAAUGGAAAGCAAAUCAUUUUUACGGCAAAUGCAUCUGAGCAAACCUGGAAUAAUACUAUUUUCUAAUUGUCAAUAACUGUCACCCCUUGAUUACAGAUGUUUAUAAUACAUAAUAGAAAUAUAUACUAUAUAUUGCCCAUUAAAAUUGGCAAGCAAAAUAGAAGCUCCAGUAUUUCAGAAUUUCUUGAAAAGAAAAUUGGGGGAAGGGGAGAAUACACACACAUACACACACACACACAGACACACUCACAAAAUAAAACAUAUUAUGCCAAGCCCACACUGUAAUUUAUCAACUGGGAAGGAAAUUGGCAUGUCUUUUCCUGCUGAUUUAUUGGUUAAUUCCAACAAUUCAUUGUAGAAAAGGCCACCAAUGAAUUACAGUGUGGGAAAAAAAUUAAGCGGAGCAUUUAGAAAGGUGUUUCAGAAUACAGCCUUUAGAAACAACUUACAUAGCUAUUUUAUAGCCAGUCCCAAAGCAAUUGGUGCA